GAUGAACGCUGGCGGUAUGCUUAACACAUGCAAGUCGAACGGACUCUUCGGAGUUAGUGGCGGACGGGUGAGUAACGCGUGAGAAUCUGGCUUUGGGUUCGGGACAACCACUGGAAACGGUGGCUAAUACCGGAUGUGCCGAGAGGUAAAAGAGAAAUUGCCUGAAGAUGAGCUCGCGUCUGAUUAGCUAGUUGGUGAGGUAAAGGCUCACCAAGGCAGCGAUCAGUAGCUGGUCUGAGAGGAUGACCAGCCACACUGGGACUGAGACACGGCCCAGACUCCUACGGGAGGCAGCAGUGGGGAAUUUUCCGCAAUGGGCGAAAGACUGACGGAGCAAUACCGCGUGAGGGAAGAAGGCUCUUGGGGUGUAAACCUCUUUUCUUAGGGAAGAACAAAAUGACGGUACCUAAGGAAUCAGCAUCGGCUAACUCCGUG
rnacentral:rRNA from 1 species